rnacentral:rRNA from 1 species
AGUGAACGCUGGCGGCAGGCCUAAUACAUGCAAGUCGAACGGCAGCACAGUGGAGCUUGCUCCAUGGGUGGCGAGUGGUGGACGGGUGAGGAAUACGUGGGAAUCUGCCCAGUCGUGGGGGAUAACGUAGGGAAACUUACGCUAAUACCGCAUGCGCCCUUCGGGGGAAAGCCGGGGACCUUCGGGCCUGGCGCGAUUGGAUGAGCCCACGUCGGAUUAGCUAGUUGGCGGGGUAACGGCCCACCAAGGCGACGAUCCGUAGCUGGUCUGAGAGGAUGAUCAGCCACACUGGAACUGAGACACGGUCCAGACUCCUACGGGAGGCAGCAGUAGGGAAUAUUGGACAAUGGGCGCAAGCCUGAUCCAGCCAUGCCGCGUGAGUGAAGAAGGCCCUCGGGUUGUAAAGCUCUUUUGUCCGGAAAGAAAAGCAUUCGGUUAAUACCCGGGUGUUCUGACGGUACCGGAAGAAUAAGCACCGGCUAACUUCGUGCCAGCAGCCGCGGUAA